rnacentral:rRNA from 1 species
GGGUGUGAUCAUACCAGUACUAAUGCACUGGAUCCCAUCAGAACACCGUAGUUAAGCAUGCUUGGGCGAGAGUAGUACUAGGAUGGGUGAACUCCUUGGAAGUCCUCGUGUUGUACCCC